AGCAGCCGCGGUAAUUCCAGCUCCAAUAGCGUAUAUUAAAGUUGUUGCAGUUAAAAAGCUCGUAGUUGAAUUUCGGGAUUGACGUGAUGGUCAUGCCUUAAGGGGUAUGAACUGUUACUGUUGAUUUCUCACCUUCUGGAGAAACUUGAUGUCCUUUAUUGGGUGUCUUGCGGAUCCAGGACCUUUACCUUGAAAAAAUUAGAGUGUUUAAAGCAGGCAUUUUUGCUCGAAUACAUUAGCAUGGAAUAAUAGAAUAGGACGGCAUGGUUCUAUUUUGUUGGUUUCUAGGAUCACCGUAAUGAUUAAUAGGGAUAGUUGGGGGCAUUAGUAUUCAAUUGUCAGAGGUGAAAUUCUUGGAUUAUUGAAGACUAACUACUGCGAAAGCAUUUGCCAAGGAUGUUUUCAUUAAUCAAGAACGAAAGUUAGGGGAUCGAAGACGAUCAGAUACCGUCGUAGUCUUAACCAUAAACUAUGCCGACUAGGAAUCAGACGAUGUUAAUUUUUUCAAUGACUCGUUUGG
rnacentral:rRNA from 1 species